rnacentral:rRNA from 1 species
UUGGAGGGCAAGUCUGGUGCCAGCAGCCGCGGUAAUUCCAGCUCCAAUAGCGUAUAUUAAAGUUGUUGCAGUUAAAAAGCUCGUAGUUGAAUUUCGGGAUCAAUAUGUUGGUCGUGCCUUGGUACGUACUGGCGUCAUUGGUUUCUACCUUCUGAAGAACCUCGAUGUCAUUAAUUUGGUGUCUUGGGGAAUCAGGACUGUUACUUUGAAAAAAUUAGAGUGUUUAAAGCAAGCUCACGCUUGAAUACAUUAGCAUGGAAUAAUGAAAUAGGACGUUUGAUUCUAUUUUGUUGGUUUCUAGGAUCGACGUAAUGAUUAAUAGGGAUAGUUGGGGGCAUUAGUAUUCAAUUGUCAGAGGUGAAAUUCUUGGAUUUAUUGAAGACUAACUACUGCGAAAGCAUUUGCCAAGGAUGUUUUCAUUAAUCAAGAACGAAAGUUAGGGGAUCGAAGACGAUCAGAUACCGUCGUAGUCUUAACCAUAAACUAUGCCGACUAGGAAUCAGACGAUGUUAAUUUUUUAAUGACUCGUUUGGCACCUUACGGGAAACCAAAGUGUUUGGGUUC